GGAUAUCUCAAUAGAUCUCUUUCAAAAGCUUCUAUAUAUCCAGGAUAGCAGCUCCCCAAGGCAAUCAAGAAUGACUAAAUCAGACAAGGAUGAAAAAUUAGAUUUCUUUCAGUACGAUCUUUGAGUACAUAAUAGCCAACGGCAAGUCAGACUAAAAAAAAAAAAAUCAGAUAAAAGUACUGCUUUUAGGGAAGGUAAGCCAAACCCUAAAACUAUGAA
rnacentral:lncRNA from 1 species